rnacentral:lncRNA from 1 species
CUAUGUAUAUGUGUUUUUAUUGUAGCUUGUUUUGAAAAGCUGUUAAAUCUUUCUCUUCCAGCUUAUAGGGAGUCUAUUCUUCCGUGAAAAAAGAAAAUUGCUGGGUCUGAGACUGAACAACACAGGGGAAAACCUGUCACAUAAGAAGAUCUGUUUUCCCAAAGAGUGACAGGCGGGCAAGGAAGGUGGCGUACUCUUCCUCUGGAAAAAUGAGGAGCCAAGGUAAAAAGAAAUUGUGAUGUUGAUAACUCAAGAAAACACGUAGUAAAACUCCUCAUUUCCAAAAU